UACAGAGGGGGCAAGCGUUGUUCGGAAUUACUGGGCGUAAAGGGCGCGUAGGCGGCUUGCUAAGUCGAACGUGAAAUCCCCGGGCUCAACCCGGGAACUGCGUCCGAUACUGGCAGGCUUGAAUCCGGGAGAGGGAUGCGGAAUUCCAGGUGUAGCGGUGAAAUGCGUAGAUAUCUGGAGGAAUACCGGUGGCGAAGGCGGCAUCCUGGACCGGCAUUGACGCUGAUGAGCGAAAGCUAGGGGAGCAAACGGG
rnacentral:rRNA from 1 species